rnacentral:rRNA from 1 species
GACGAACGCUGGCGGCGUGCUUAACACAUGCAAGUCGAACGAAGAGCGAUGGAAGCUUGCUUCUAUCAAUCUUAGUGGCGAACGGGUGAGUAACGCGUAAUCAACCUGCCCUUCAGAGGGGGACAACAGUUGGAAACGACUGCUAAUACCGCAUACGAUCUAACCUCGGCAUCGAGGAAAGAUGAAAGGUGGCCUCUAUGUAUAAGCUAUCACUGAAGGAGGGGAUUGCGUCUGAUUAGCUAGUUGGAGGGGUAACGGCCCACCAAGGCGAUGAUCAGUAGCCGGUCUGAGAGGAUGAACGGCCACAUUGGGACUGAGACACGGCCCAGACUCCUACGGGAGGCAGCAGUGGGGAAUCUUCCGCAAUGGGCGAAAGUCUGACGGAGCAACGCCGCGUGAGUGAUGACGGCCUUCGGGUUGUAAAGCUCUGUUAAUCGGGACGAAAGGCCUUCUUGCGAAUAGUGAGAAGGAUUGACGGUACCGGAAGAGAAAGCCACGGCUAACUACGUG